UAGACAAUGGACUGGGGCCUCCUCCAGGAUCCAGUAGUCCGCUAGGAAGAUGUUCCCCCUCUGGAGAAGGCGCACGGAGGUUUAGCAUACCCUCCCCACCAGUGCUCACCUUCCCUCUCCGUUCUCUGCGUACCUCAAGGAGGAGCUGAUGUCCCCAUUUCCAGCCUCAGCAAUUCUUGGUGCCUGCACUUAUGGCCAAGUGGGUAGCCAUAAACUGGGUACCGCACCCUUCCCAGAAUGUCCGGAAUGAGGUCGAGGCAGGUGCCUGGUCCCAGCAAGGGGGCCACCAUGUCAUUGGUGACUGGCAGCUUGCUGGGCAAGCUGGAAAGGCAAUGGAGCAUGACAGGAUUGACGCCAUUCAGAGGAGAAUCUGGAGGAUAUCAUCAGUGGAACCAGGAGUUUCUCCCACUUGAAUCCAGCAGUCUCCCUGGGAGAACUGGGAGAGGACUGUGUCCCAGGAAGGGGAGGAAGAGGUCUGAAUGGGAGGUAAAUUGAAGGGUGGGCAUCCCCUGCCUAGCUCUGCACACCUGAGGUGAAGGUCUUGUGGCACCAGAAGAUUUUGUGGAUGUCAUCCAGCUUUUUCCAGGAGCCCUUGCGGUCCAGCAGCCCUCGUAUCUUCAUGCCCAAGGACCUUAAGGAUGGGGAAGAUCCUCACUGGCUCCCCUCUGCCUAAAGAACAAAGCUCCAAGUGCCAAGCCUGAGUAGUCCAUGAAGCUUCCCAUCAGUCAGUUUCAAUCAACCUUUCCAGCUUUUUCUGUGCACUAGACAAGGCCAACCAAGGCCUUGAGCUCCUGAGCUUAAGUGAUCUUCUGGCCUCAGCUUCAUAUGAGUAUCUGGGACUAUAGGCAUGGAUUACCACACCUGGCUCAAAGAUGAACAUUCUACAAUGGACUAGUAAAAGUGGAAUUGGCAAGCUGAGAGGACUUUGUGUAAAUGUGUAUACUGUUUAAAUUUUUUUAUAGUGAACAUUAUUUUACAAUCAGAGGGGGGAAAAUGCUUGAGAUUAAAUUCCCCUGCCUCUGAACUUCA